rnacentral:rRNA from 1 species
CCUACGGGUGGCAGCAGUGGGGAAUAUUGGGCAAUGGAGGCAACUCUGACCCAGCAACGCCGCGUGAAUGAUGAAGGUCUUCGGAUUGUAAAGUUCUUUUCUAAGGGAAGAAGAAAGUGACGGUACCUUAGGAAUAAGCCUCGGCUAACUACGGGCCAGCAGCCGGGGUAAUACGUAGGAGGCGAGCGUUAUCCGGAAUGACUGGGCGUAAAGGGUGCGGAGGUGGUUCAGAAAGUUAGUAGGGUAACUCCGGGGCUCAACCUCGGAACUACAACUAAAACUGUUGGACUAGAGUGCAGCAGAGGCAAGUGGAAUUCCUAGUGUAGCGGUGGAAUGCGUAGAUAUUAGGAGGAACACCAGUGGCGAAGGCGACUUGCUGGACCGCAACUGACACUGAGGCACGAAAGCGUGGGGAGCAAACAGGAUUAGAUACCCCGGUAGUC